rnacentral:rRNA from 1 species
AUGAGAAAAUCAUGGUACCAUGUACUUGUGGUAUAUUAUCUUUCUGGUAUUCAUUCAAACAUAGGAAGGAGUUGCAGGUUCCAAGGAGAAAUCUCAAUAUCAUUCUCAUCUGUAGUUAUUCACAAGCAGUUUUUAUUUUUGUUAAGGUAUAUGCAGUUCAGUGUCCGUUCUCUCCAUUGGCACAUGUGUGAGGUAAAUCAUGGUAUGUGUAUACUUGGUGGUGUACCGAGCUUCCGGUGUCCUUUCAAUCAGAAAAAAGAGAUAGAUGCACAUUCUAAAAAGAAACUGCCAUAUGGGUCUGAUCUAUAG